AUUGAACGCUGGCGGCAUGCCUUACACAUGCAAGUCGAGCGGCAGCACGGGGCAACCUGGUGGCGAGUGGCGAACGGGUGAGUAAUGCAUCGGAACGUACCUUUCAGUGGGGGAUAACGUAGCGAAAGUUACGCUAAUACCGCAUAUUCUGUGAGCAGGAAAGCAGGGGAUCGCAAGACCUUGCGCUGAUUGAGCGGCCGAUUUCAGAUUAGCUAGUUGGUGAGGUAAAGGCUCACCAAGGCGACGAUCUGUAGCGGGUCUGAGAGGAUGAUCCGCCACACUGGAACUGAGACACGGUCCCGACUCCUACGGGAGGCAGCAGUGGGGAAUUUUGGACAAUGGGGGCAACCCUGAUCCAGCCAUGCGGCGUGAGUGAAGAAGGCCUUCGGGUUGUAAAGCUCUUUCGGCCGGAAAGAAAUCGCACGGGCUAAUACCCUGUGUGGAUGACGGUACCGGAAUAAGAAGCACCGGCUAACUACGUGCCAGCAGCCGCCGUAA
rnacentral:rRNA from 1 species